rnacentral:rRNA from 1 species
UACGGAAGGCAGCAGUGGGGAAUAUUGGACAAUGGGCGGAAGCCUGAUCCAGCCAUGCCGCGUGUGUGAAGAAGGCCUUUUGGUUGUAAAGCACUUUAAGCGAGGAGGAGGCUACUAGUACUAAUACUACUGGAUAGUGGACGUUACUCGCAGAAUAAGCACCGGCUAACUCUGUGCCAGCAGCCGCGGUAAUACAGAGGGUGCGAGCGUUAAUCGGAUUUUACUGGGCGUAAAGCGUGCGUAGGCGGCUGAUUAAGUCGGAUGUGAAAUCCCUGAGCUUAACUUAGGAAUUGCAUUCGAUACUGGUCAGCUAGAGUAUGGGAGAGGAUGGUAGAAUUCCAGGUGUAGCGGUGAAAUGCGUAGAGAUCUGGAGGAAUACCGAUGGCGAAGGGCAGCCAUCUGGGCCUAAUCUGACGCUGAGUACGGAAAGGCAAUGGGGAGGCAAACAGGGAAUUAAGAAUAACC